CUCAUAUGGCUCCUCAGGCUUUUGUCUUAAAUCUGUCAAAGUGGAGGCUUUUCCUGGAGUCAAAGGCAAAGACUUCCAGGCAUUCACUGCACACGUAGUUACUUGCCAUAAGGCCUCCUUUCCCAUAUGCAUCUGCUGUUGGGUUGUAUCAUAUUCUCCCUGGCCCAACAACAUAUCUUUAGUAAUAUCAAAUUUAUCCCAUUUCUUAUUUAAAGCAUGUUGCUUAGCCACCCAUUUUUCAUAUUCUGUUUUCCAAAGCAAAUAUUGUCCUCCAGAUAAACAGGCCUUUGCAACCUGAAUCCAGUCAUAUGGAGUCAUCCAUCUAUUUGCCAAGGCAUCUAUAAGAGUCAUAGUAUAAGGCGCCAACGGUCCAUAAUCUACACAGGCCUUUUUAAGUUCUUUUAAAAGUUUUAGAGGCAAAGGAUCCCAAUAUACAUCAUCAUCAUCAAAACCAUCCUCAUAAAUGACUGGAAAGCAGGCGGCAAAAGCAUAAUCAUCAUCGUCACCUUUUAUUCUCCUAUGCUUUUUAUAUUUGCCUUGGCUUUUAUUAAAAGGCGGUGGAGGUGGUAGGCCCUUAACAUUUAAAGUUGAAUGUCCUAAUCUCUUUAAAGGGAGAAAUGAAGAACUUAAAGGUGCCGGUGGGGCGGUCGGUAAACGACCCAAAGGGCGCAUAUCCUGUAAAUUAGGCCUAUUUUUCUUAGUUUCUUGCUUUGAAAAAGCACCAUGGGGUUCAUACUUCCUUCUUUCAUAAUCAUAUACAGCAGCAUCUAAAUCAUCCUGAUCUGCAGGAGGCAAUUCAUCAUCAAAAGGAGGAUUCUUUAACAAAUUAGACUUAUUAUCAAUAGGUGAGUCAAUUUCCUCCUCUGAAUCAUCAUCCUUGAGGUUACAAUCUUUUAAAGCUGCAGCCAUAACCUCAGUUUUUUUAGAUAUUUUUGAGGAAAGUAACGGAGUACAUUCAUCCAUUACUUCUACAGGAUUUUUAUAUAGAUUCUUUUGACCUUCAGGCAAAGGAGCAAUGCUCUCUCUAAUAAGGUUCCAUAAAGUAAAAGUAUCUACUGGAACCUUCUCAGGUCCAAAAUGACUAUAAUAUACUUGCAAAGUUUGUCCCACCUUUUGCCAGGUUUCUAUAUUAACUGUUCCCUGUUCUGGAAACCAUGGGCAUUGUUCCUGUACAAACUGAAAAAACUGAGUUAGUUGCUUACUAGUUACCUUAAUUCCUCUUCCAUUUAUCAUAUGUUUAACUAUAUCAAUAAAUAAGAGCCUCUCUUUGGACUCAGCGUGUCCCAUCUUGACACCGCCUUACUCACCUUCCUAACCAGUAUUCCUAA